AUGGACGUCUCGUCACUCUCCGCUCUCCUGCGCUCAUCGCCAUUCCUCCUCCUCCUCCUCGCCCUGCUGGUGCCAAUCUUCUCCUCCUUGUUCCUCUUCUCUGCCAGGAAGAAGCUCUCUCCGUCCUGCGCCGAUGGCGGCCAGCGGCUGCCUCCGUCGCCGCCGGGGUUUCCCGUCCUCGGCCACCUGCCCCUUCUUGGGUCCCUGCCGCACCGGAAACUCCGGUCGCUGGCGGAGGCGCACGGCCCGGUCAUGCUCCUGCACCUCGGCCGCGUGCCCACCGUCGUGGCCUCCUCGGCCGCCGCGGCGCAGGAGGCCAUGAAGACCCGCGACCUGGCCUUCGCGAGCCGCGCCCAGAUACGCAUGGCCGAGAGGCUCCUCUACGGCCGCGACAUGGUGCUGGCGCCCUACGGCGAGUACUGGCGCCAGGCGCGCCGCGUCUGCGUGGUCCACCUCCUCAACCACCGCCGCAUCCUGUCCUUCCGCCGCGUCCGGGAGCAAGAGGUCGCCGCCCUGCUCGACGGCGUCCGCCGCCGCUCGCUUCACCCGCCGGGCGUGCUGAACCUCAGCGACAUGCUCACCUCCUACUCCAACGCCGUCAUCAAGCGGGCCGCGUUCGGCGACGGGGAGUACGGGAUCGACGGCGACGACGGGGGCGAGAAGCUGAGGAAGGUGCUGGACGACUUCGAGGAGCUGCUGGGGACGCCCACGGUGGGGGAGUUCGUGCCGUGGCUGGCAUGGGUGGACACGCUGACGGGGCUGAAUGCCCGGGCCACGCGCACGUUCGAGGCGCUCGACGGGUUGCUCGAGCGGGUCAUCGCGGACCACCGCAAGCGGCGUCUGGCCGGCGGGCCGGUGGUGGGAGACGGCCUGGACGAUCAGCGGGACUUCGUGGACGUGCUGUUGGACGUGAGCGAGACGGGAGAGGAGGCCGGCGGAGUCCGGUUCGACGUGGUCAGCAUCAAGGCCAUUAUGCUGGAUAUGUUCGCCGCCGCGACAGACACAACCUACACGACAAUGGAGUGGACCAUGGCGGAGCUCAUCAACCACCCGCGCGUGAUGCAGAAGCUCCAGGACGAGAUCCGCGCGGCCGUCAAUGGCGCCGGCCACGUCACGGAGGACCACCUCGGCACGCUGCGCUACCUGAGGGCCGUGAUCAGGGAGACACUCCGGCUGCACGCGCCCCUGCCGCUCCUCUUGCCCCGGGAGACACUCGAGGACACGGAGCUGCUGGGCUACCGCGUCCCGGCGCGGACGCGCGUGGUGAUCAACGCCUGGGCCAUCGGCCGGGACCCGGCGACGUGGGAGCGCGCCGAGGAGUUCGUGCCGGAGCGGUUCGUGGAUGACCCGGCGGAAUAUGGGGCGGGGCAUGACGACUUCAGGGCGGUGCCGUUCGGUGCCGGGAGGAGAGGGUGCCCCGGGGUCGGGUUCGCCGUGCCGUCGAUGGAGCUAGCGCUGGCGGGCCUGCUGUACCAUUUCGACUGGGAGCCGCCGCUGGCGGCCGGCGGGGCAGCGUCGAAGCUGGACUUGAGCGAGCUGUUUGGGAUAUCUGUGCGACUCAAGACGGCGCUGCAUGUGGUUGCUAAGCCGUGGUCUCCUUGA
rnacentral:rRNA from 1 species